CAAUAGCCUAAAGGCUGAACCAGCAAUUUGGAAGAACGUAAAGCUUCGGCUUGUGAAACCUAAAAAUAAAGGUAAGCAUCGACUAUGUCGAAUAAAGUUCUAGAUAUAAUAUUGAUUAUGACAAAUUUUUAUCUAUUUGUCUUGACCAAAAUACGUGCCAGCAGUCGCGGUAAUACGUAAAAGACAAGUGUUAUUCAUCUUUAAUAGGUUUAAAGGGUACCUAGACGGUAUUAUUAGCCCAAAAAAGGGUACGAUAGUACUAGAGUUUUAUAGGAGAAGGAGGUAUUUAUGGUGGAGAGUUUAUAUUUAAUUAUACCUUAGAGACUGGUAAAGGCGAAAGCAACCUUCUAUCUAAUAACUGACGUUGAGGUACGAAGGCCUGGGUAGCAAACAGGAUUAGAUACCCUAGUAGUCCAGGCAGAGAAUUCUAAAUGCCAUAUGCUAGAUUAAUUUAGCAUAUAAAUGAAAGUGUAAGCAUUUCACCUUAAGAGUAAUGCGGCAACGCAGAAACUGAAAUCAUUAGGCCGUUUCUGAAAUCAGUAGUGAAGUAUGUUAUUUAAUUCGAUAAUCCACGAAAAACCUCACCACGAUUUGCAUAUUAUUUUUAAUCUUAAUUGGUUAAAAUUAUUACAAGCGUUGCACGGCUGUCUUCAGUUAAUGUCGUGAGAUUUUGGUUAGUUCCAUAAAAUUAACGUAAACCCUUGCUUUAUUUUUAAAUAGUAUUUUAUAGAGCAGUUCGCCAUUAUAUUGGUUGAUAUAUGGGACCAAGACAAGUCAUCAUGACCUUAAUGUUGUGGGCUAUAGACGUGCCACAUAACCCUAUACAAAGAGAUGCGAAAAUGUGAAUUUAAGCUAAUCUCAAAAGUAGGAUAUAAUACGGAUUGUAGUCUGUAACUCGACUACAUGAAGAAGGAAUUACUAGUAAUCGUGAAUCACCAUGUCACGGUGAAUUUUUUCUCGGAUAGGUACUUACUACUCGUCGCGCGCUGAAAGAAGUUUAUG
rnacentral:rRNA from 1 species